CAUCCCACUAUAUUGUUCGCCAGAGUACUACAAGCGCUAGCUUAAAACCCAAAGGACUUGGCGGUAUCCCACACCCACCUAGAGGAGCCUGUUCUAUAACCGAUAAUCCCCGUUCAACCUCACCACUUCUUGCCAUUACCGUCUAUAUACCGCCGUCGUCAGCCCACCCUGUGAAGGAUUAAAAGUAAGCAAAAAGAAUAAAACUCCAAAACGUCAGGUCGAGGUGUAGCAAAUGAAGUGGGAAGAAAUGGGCUACAUUUUUUCCCAAAAACAUACGAAUGGUAAACUGAAAACACACCUAAAGGUGGAUUUAGCAGUAAGAGAAGAUCAGAAUACUUCUCUGAAAUCGGCUCUGGGAUAAGCACACACCGCCGUCACUCUCCUCAAAAACAAUUCACUCCCUUCUAUAAAUCCAUUUCCCCAAUAAGAGGAGGCAAGUCGUAACAUGGUAAGUGUACUGGAAAGUGCACUUGGAAUC
rnacentral:rRNA from 1 species